rnacentral:rRNA from 1 species
GAUGAACGCUGGCGGCGUGCCUAAUACAUGCAAGUCGAGCGAACAGACGAGGAGCUUGCUCCUCUGACGUUAGCGGCGGAAGGGUGAGUAACACGUGGAUAACCUACCUAUAAGACUGGGAUAACUUCGGGAAACCGGAGCUAAUACCGGAUAAUAUAUUGAACCGCAUGGUUCAAUAGUUAAAGACGGUUUUGCUGUCACUUAUAGAUGGAUCCGCGCCGCAUUAGCUAGUUGGUAAGGUAACGGCUUACCAAGGCGACGAUGCGUAGCCGACCUGAGAGGGUGAUCGGCCACACUGGAACUGAGACACGGUCCAGACUCCUACGGGAGGCAGCAGUAGGGAAUCUUCCGCAAUGGGCGAAAGCCUGACGGAGCAACGCCGCGUGAGUGAUGAAGGUCUUCGGAUCGUAAAACUCUGUUAUUAGGGAAGAACAAAUGUGUAAGUAACUAUGCACGUCUUGACGGUACCUAAUCAGAAAGCCACGGCUAACUACGUG